rnacentral:rRNA from 1 species
UACGUAGGUGGCAAGCGUUGUCCGGAUUUACUGGGCGUAAAGAGCGCGCAGGCGGUCCUUUAAGUCUGAUGUGAAAGCCCACGGCUCAACCGUGGAGGGUCAUUGGAAACUGGGGGACUUGAGUGCAGAAGAGGAGAGUGGAAUUCCACGUGUAGCGGUGAAAUGCGUAGAGAUGUGGAGGAACACCAGUGGCGAAGGCGACUCUCUGGUCUGUAACUGACGCUGAGGCGCGAAAGCGUGGGGAGCAAACAGG